rnacentral:rRNA from 1 species
AGUGAACGCUGGCGGUAGGCCUAACACAUGCAAGUCGAACGAGUGGCGGACGGGUGAGGAAUACAUCGGAAUCUACUCUGUCGUGGGGGAUCACGUAGGGAAACUUACGCUAAUCCCGCAUACGAUUCAAUGAGCCGACGUCGGAUUAGCUAGUGGGCGGGGUAAAGGCCCACCAAGUCGACGAUCCGUAGCUGGUCUGAGAGGAUGAUCAGCCAGACUGGAACUGAGACACGGUCCAAACUCCUACGGGAGGCAGAAGUGGGGAAGAUUGGACAAUGGGCGCAAGCCUGAUCCAGCCAUACCGCGUGGGUGAAGAAGGCCUUCGGGUUGUAAAGCCCUUUAAGUGGGGAGGCGUGACCAACAGAAUAAGCACCGGCUAACUUCGUGCCAGCCGCCGCGGUAAUAC